GGGAGGGGGGCGCCGGAGUCUGUAUGGAAUUACCUGCGCCCGCGGCGGAACUGGGUACGGCGGAUGGCCGGGCGCCGCGUCCUCGGCACUCGUGGCGAGCGCAGCCCCGGGACUGAACGCGGGGCUUCUCCGGCCGGGAGCGCAGCGUUGUGACCGGAUCGCACCGGAGGGACAGCGAGGAGGACUCCUGCGGCAAGCUCUUAAGGAAAGAAGAAAGAGAGUGAUGGCAAAAAGGAAAAAAGGAAAAAAGAAAAGAAAAACCUCCAUAUGAAAGGAUUCCGAUCUGAAGAAAGAAAUGAAAGUUUUUUUAUUAUUCAGAAAAUAAGCAAAACAUGAUAUGGGAGAACAGAGCAUGCAGUAAAUAAAUCUGAAGAUUACUGAAAGAUACUUAGGGUU
rnacentral:lncRNA from 1 species